rnacentral:rRNA from 1 species
GACGAACGCUGGCGGCGUGCUUAACACAUGCAAGUCGAACGGUGAAGCGCCGUCCUUGUUGGGUGGUGGGGAGGAGUGGCGGACGGUUGAGUAACACUUGAGUAACCUUCCCCCUGCGUCUGGAUAACCGCAUUGAGGUUUGUCUAAUACGGGAGAUUCUGGUGCUUGCUCGUGGUUGGUCUGGUAAGGAGGUUGUGUCGGGAGGGGAGGGGCUCGCGGCCGAUCAGCGUGUUGGGGGGGUGAUGGGCUACCAAGGCUGGGACGGGUCGACGGCCUGAGCGGGUGGCCGGCCAGACUGGGACUGAGACACGGCCCAGACUCAUAUGCGAGGCAGCCGUCGGGAAUAUUGAACAAUGGGCGAAAGUCUGAUGUAGCGACGACGCGUGAGCGAUGGAGGCCUUCGCGUUGUGACCCUCUUUCGCCAGUGAAGCACGCCCGCCUCGUUUGUGGGUGGGUUGACGGUAGCUGGAUAAGAAGCGCCGGCUAACUACGUG